GACGAUCCAUGAAGCUAUGAAUCCUGAUGCUCCUGUCACGCACACCGUUUUCGCCGCCAUGUUCAAUCUCUUUCUUCUUCCCUCUUCUCCUUAUCAGUUGGGCUUUAUAAGAGAGUUGGUCGGUGAGGGUGGAAAAAAUCAAAAUUAAUACUGCUUUUUCGACAGGGCCAAAAACAGGUAAAAAAAACAGGAGCGCCACCACAUGGCGCCCACCUAUUGGAGGGUGGCUGUUUUCAAAAUGUGGAUAAGAUUCCUUGCAUAGAUAAUGGAUUACGGCCCCCGCUCAGGGUCCGCACAUAAUUAACGUGCGCGUAAUCAAUUACAGGAGAUCCACAAAUAAUUUAGCCCCUGAUUGCCU
rnacentral:lncRNA from 1 species